UAAGUAAGUUGGUCAACUGCACAAAAUGUGAGGAAAGUCUGCGCUCCACAGAGCAAAGAUGCUUGUUAACGACAAGUGGGGGCGACCCCAAGGCUAGUGCAACAGAAAUAUACCGCCAUUAUUGGUAAGGGUGGAAAGGCGAGGUAAGAGCUCACCGGAUUAUUAGUGAUAAUAAUGCCAUGUAAACCCCAUCUGGAGCAAGACCAAAUAGGAAUAACAGAUGCUGCUCGUGUCUGCCGUAAGGUAGGUCGCUAAAGUCCUCUGGCAACAGUGGAAUAAGAUAGAUAGUUGACAAAACAGAACGCAGCUUAUAGACUUGCUUGUAAU
rfam:Peptoniphilus lacrimalis 315-B contig00017, whole genome shotgun sequence.